CUGCGCGUUUCCUCGCUCGCAUUGAGUUUAGGCGCCUGAAGGGGAAGGAGACCUUGCCGGGGAGGGGAGCGCAGCCAAGGGCCGCCAGCUCAAGGCUCCAUUGCAAUGCAUUGCGUCUCCCUCCCUCCCUCCCUCCCCGCGGCCGCCCCGAGGCGUGUCUUCUUUUUUUCCACUCUCUCAUUUCAGCCUCGCGAAGCAGCCCUGAGAGGACGCGCAAGGAGCCCCUCGAGAGCCGUGCAUGCUGGAAGGGGAGUUGCUGUGAGGCGGGUUUCUGGAGCUCCCCACACAGCUCUGAGAGAGGCGACUUCGGCGGGGAGAGAAGAGGGGCGGCCUGGAAAGAGCCCCUUGGUGCUUCUUCGAUGGCAACGUGGUAGCUUGUAAAUAUUCCCCCCCAGCCCUAUGAGCAGGAGGCUGCUCUGUCUGGAAGGUGGUGGCUCCCUCCAAAGAGCUUGGGUGUUCCCAGGGUUUGAUUAUGGAUGGCUUACCCCACCCGUUGUCUCUAUAUGCUGCUUAGAAUAUUGUUUAAAUACAAACUUAAGAUAUUUGUAAAAGCAAAAACAAAAACAGGCUUUAAAUAGGAUAAAAUAAAACAAGAAUAGGUUAAAAUCUAAAAGAAUAGGAUAAAAUCUUUUUUAAAAUCUAGUGCAGUAUAAUAAAGGAAAUAUAGGUCAUUCAUUUAAUUAGGGAAAGUUUAAAAAAAGUGUGAAGCAUUUUCAAAGCAGGUUAGAUACUUUAGAACUAGCGUAUUAAAAUGAUAUUCAAAGUAGCAUAUGGAAAUAAUGAAAAAAGCUUAUCCACAAUAAAAACCUGAAACCCCAGAAAGCAUAGGAUUUUUUUCUCAUAGCAGUCCCUAAGAUGGCUUGGCUGUAGCCCCUCACAGCUAAGUUGCGUACCCUGACACCCAUUACUCAGAGCAGCCUGCAAAGGAGCUAGAGGAUUACUUUCUUAUAUGGACUCCAUGUUUUUGCUUUGAAUAACCCUUGAUUUAGUCAGAGGAUCUCAUUCUUGUUCUAGACUAUCUCAUUGCUCUACAUGGCCUCAUUUAGUAGGAGUGUGCCUUUCACCUAGAUUUUACACUUUGGUUCUAAGAAGCCCCUGAAUAGUGGUGAAAUGGCAUAUCUGACUUGCCCAGACAAUCAGCUUGGUCUGGCCCUGCCCGUGGAGGAAAGGAUGGAUGGUGGAAGUGUGACAUCUCCAACCAGCCCAGAAAAUCAGCUUGGUCUGCCCUGCCCACAGAGGAAGCAAGGACAGUGGGAAUGCAGCAUCCUUGACCUCUUCAAGCAGCGUGGUGUGCUGAGCAGGCUUGGCUGACUUACGGUGAAGAGGCAAAGAAACAAGUCCUGAAGGCUUAAGAUCUGAGGAGGCAAAGGGGAGAAAAGACAAAGUAGUGCAGAAGGAGGAAGAAAAACAAGCAGAAAGGAGCAACAGGAGACAUGAAAAGGGAAGAAGUAGAAAUGAUUAUUUUUCAAGAUGCUUCACAGAAGAAAUGGAAAGGUUCUGCUUCUACAAAUUGGGUGGCUUGAUUGCUGACUUUCUCCCUGCCAUGUAUCACUCUGAGUUCCUGGAGCUUGGCUUUCUUGUGCUGAAGUUAAUGUCCCUGCACGAAGGAACCCCUAAAAAUGUGGGAACAUAGCCUUCUUAGUGACAAUACAAGCGGGCAGGGUGAAUUUGAUUUAAAUCAAACUGAUUUAAAUCAUUAGCAGGGUGGAUAAAAAUAAAAAAAAUCCAAUUUAAAUAAAAAAAUCUGAUUUAAAUCAAAAAUCCGAUUUAAAUUUAAAAAAUCCAAUUUUUUAAAUUUAAAUUGGAUUUUUUUUAUUUAAAUCAGAUUUUUUUUUUAAUCCACCCUGCUAGUGAUUUAAAUCGUGAUUUAAAUCGUGAUUUAAAUCAGUUUGAUUUAAAUCAAAUCCACCCUGAAAGCGGGAGCGCCUAAUGGUUGCGGUGUGGCUUUCCCAUGCUGGACUUCAUGUCUUUGCACUGGGGAGGGGCUAUAAUGGUGGGAGCAUGACCUUCCUAGUGGCUGUACAUUGAGGAGCUCCUGAUUAGGCUGGGGUGCAUCUUUCCCAUGCUAGACUUCAGGUCUUUGCACUGGGGAGCCCCUAAUCUAUUUGGGGUGCACUUUUUUUCAUGCUGAACUUCACGUCUUUGCACUGGGUAGCCCCUAUAAUAUUUGGAGCAUGGUCUGAAGUGUGCCUGGGGUGCCCCUUUUUUCCUGCUGGACUUCAUGUCUUUGCACUGGGGAGCCCCUAUAAUAUUUGGAGCAUGGUCUUUGUAGUUGUCAUAUACUGAAGAGCCCCGGAUCUAAUUGGGGUGCAGCUUUUUUCACGCUGGACUUCAAGUCUUUGCGCUGGGGAGCCCCCCAAAUUGUGGGAACAUGGCCUUCAUAGAUUCUGUAUACUGAAGAACACCUGAUUUGCCUGUGGUUCAGCUUUUUUUCCUGCUGGACUUCAUGUCUUUGCACUGGGAAGCCCCUAUAAUAUUUGGAGCAUGGUCUUUGUAGUUGUCAUAUACUGAAGAGCCCCUGAUCUGGUUCGGGUGAAGCUCUUCUCAUGCUGGACUACUUUGUCCUGGGUAGCCCCACAUUUGAAUGGGGUGCAGCUCCUUUCACGCUGGACUUCAUGUCUUUGCGCUGAGGAGCCCCCCAAAUUGUUGGCUUUCUCUCUGCAAGGCAUCCCUAAGUAGAGGCUGGUAGACCUUGAGCCUGGCUGCUUCAGGAUGGACUGG